CGGAAUUUAAAACGAAGCCAUAUUAGGUCUGGGGGUGACUCAGUGUUUGUGUUAUUCUCGUGGGCUCAUUAUCACUUGGGAGGGUGAGUCAGCUCAUAGUCAGCUAGGGGAACUAGCUCAUGGUAAUGAAUAAAAAUAUGACGGUAUAUAUAGUUAAGAAAUUAGCUUCCCUUAUUUGAAAGAACUUUUCAAAUUAAGCGGAAAAAUGACUUUGGCAGUCUAAGAAAGCAUGUUGCAAAUUCCGUCACCUCACGGCGUUUUUCUGAGGACGGUUCUGUACGUGAUAGAAUCGAAACACUACAUGCACACCCUCGCCUGCCUCGUCCCUCGUCGCUUCAGUUGGGAAUAGAGAUCAGUGGAAAACAAUGGGAGCGCGGGGCUUAAUGGGAAUGCGAUAGACCGCGCGUGAUAACGGAUGAGGGACUGAGUCAGCACCCUCGCAUAGACAUAGACUAGCGACGUGAAAAAAUAUCUAUUCGAUACGGAAUGUACAACUUUCAGAAACUGAGCGAAACAACAUCUCUUUGUUGCACUAAAUCUUCUGAAAAUAGCGUUCCUAAAAUGUACGGAUAGGUGUUUUUUCACGUCGCUACCGAAAGUUAUCCGGUACAAGUGUAAACGUAGCCAUAGUGUCCUGGUACGUCACUAUUUCAUAUGCCGAACCUAUAAAAGUAAUGAAUUUCGAUUCCCUUGUGAACGGAGGACAAUACGAAAACGUUACGAAAACGGAUUAAUAAUGUACCAUAUACAGGGUGGCCCCUCUGUUGUUCAUUUAACCAACAACAGAGGGGACAUUUUUUGGGACACCUUGUAGUGUUUAAUUAAGUCUAUUCCUGGGUUAAACCGACGUCGCUCUUUUCAUACGUAGAAACCAAUAAAUUACGACACUAGAGGGACGUUGGAGCAGUGUCAAAUCAAACGGCGAACAUAAAAUGUCGCUCCAAAUAUAAAUCAUGGAUAAUUAACAUAAAUAUAUAAAAUACAUGAAAGUCAAUGACAUAUAACAUAUAGAUUAAAAUAAUUAUUAGAUACGUAUAACACAUAGAUUAAAAUAGAAUUGCUGUCGCUCCAUGCAGUGUCGCAUAUGGUGCGCCGCACCUAAUCCUGCAUUCUCUCGAACUUAACCUACUCGAACGUCGCAUUUCUGUGGCACUUAACACGGUUGUGUUUAUGAAUAUUAUCACUAAUUUAUCAGCCUAGUAAUUAUGUGUCUUACUUUAUGUGUCUUACUUUUUUAUCACUAAAAUUCAUCAGAGUCUGGACGCCUUCCAUUGAAACCAGCUUUUGCUGAUGGGGCUAGCGUCAUUAAAUAAAGCGGUUUUAGAUAAAAUAUUUAAUAAAUAAAUUAAAUAAAAAGUCAACUCUGUCUUUGACAGUUGACUUCGACAGUGUACGAAGUCAUGUCGUUCUAGAAGGAUAGUUCUGUAAUAUACGCAAAUCGUUUUACAACUUUUUCAAUUCCAGUAUAAGCUUCAAUGUUCUCUGGCUAUAAAUAUGAGUUUAGGGAUGGGCGAUACCAGCUUUUUCAUUCGAUACGAUACUUCCUCGAUAUUUUCCUUUUUUUUCGAUAUCGAUAUCGAUAUUUUCCCAACUCGAACAACCAUAAACAACAAAAGAACGGCAACCAUAACAACGGUAACAACGCUAACGAUAUAAACAUUAAUAAAAUAAUAUAAUAUGUCAGUGAUUGCAACCAGCAUAACCAGAAACUCCGAUCUUGCCUGCGGACCAUUAUAGCACCAUUGAAAUGAACUACUUUUAUAGUAUUUACGCCUAUUUAGAGCAGCUGAACAGGGUGGACUUUCGUCGACGCUGCAUGAAAAUAGUGCGGGCUCGUGAGCUUUUUCCCGCAAAUUUUGCUUUUCGAUGUUUUGCUUACAAUUUCUAAGGAUGUUGAAGUUUACAGCAUUGUGAUUCACUGGUUUUUGAAAGCAUCGGGGGUUUUUUCGUUGGAACUUGCAGGCAAACUCUUCAACAACCUAAUGACUGUUUUUAAAGCAAAGCAAUUGAAAGGAAAACUUAUAUUUUCAUACGAAGAAGAUGAGUGGCGACAGUUAUGUUGGACUGUUUUGAGCAGAUGCUUCGAAGAACAUGAUAUAAUCGGACCUUGUAUCUUAAAAGUGUACUUGAAACAGCCGAACAAAGUGGUAAAUUUGGUUACCCGGUGUGUUGGGCAUCAUAAUUCACAGGAAUAGUGCACAGCAGGGUUUAAACUGGCUAUGAAAUAUCCUGAAUACUUCGUCGAGUUCUCUACAGCUUCUCUACUGUAGUUUAAUGUGGCACGCGUCUUUGAAAGAGCUUUACUUGACUUUAAUCGACGUGUAAGGUAUAACUUAGGUAAGCCAACAUUUCUUUGUAAUGCAAGCUACAUUUUCAUAUCUUUAAUGUGUGAAUAUUUUUAAUUUUGUAAAAAAUUAAUCGCAAUAUGUUGUUGGAGAAAGUAUCGAGUGCUUCAUAAUAACGCUCAGAUCUUGUAUACAGAUAUUCGUAUUUUAUUCAAAAUCUACCCUUUAUCACCACUUUUUUUAUUCUUUUAUGUUAAAGUAUACAUAAUCCUUGACUUAAAAACACGAUGAUCUACUCGAGGAAAAUUGGGCAAAGGGGCGAUCUUUGCAGAGAAACUUGACCGUUUGGUGAAAUUGGUAGUUCAGAGACCCUAUUUUCAUUGUAGUAUUUCGUGGCAAUUUGUUGGCCGAUUUCUAGUUUAUAUUGUAGAACGGGUUCCUAGUGAGUUAAAUUAAUUGUCUAUCCUCUACAGAGUAGUAAUAAGCGCGACUCCUUUUUGUUGA